rnacentral:rRNA from 1 species
AACGUGGGAGGCAAGCGUUAUUGAUCUUAACUGGGUCUAAAGGGUCCGUAAAACGGUAAAUUAAGCGAAAAUAUAAUAAUUUAAUCGAACUGAUUUACUAGAGUCUUAUAGAGGAACAGAGGAAUUGCAAGAGUAAGGAUGAAAUCUAUUGAUACUUGUAGGACCGCCAAAGGCGAAGGCAUCGUUCCAGGUAAAGUCUGACGUUGAGGGACGUAGGCGUUGGGAGCGAAAAGG